rnacentral:rRNA from 1 species
UGGGGAAUAUUGGACAAUGGAGGAAACUCUGAUCCAGCAAUUCUGUGUGUGUGAAGAAGGUUUUAGGACUGUAAAACACUUUUAGUAGGGAAGAAAAAAAUGACGGUACCUACAGAAGAAGCAACGGCUAAAUACGUGCCAGCAGCCGCGGUAAUACGUAUGUUGCGAGCGUUAUCCGGAAUUAUUGGGCUUAAAGGGCAUCUAGGCGGUAAGACAAGUUGAAGGUGAAAACCUGUGGCUCUACCAUAGGCUUGCCUACAAAACUGUUGAACUAGAGUACUGGAAAGGUGGGUGGAACUACACGAGUAGAGGUGAAAUUCGUAGAUAUGUGUAGGAAUGCCGAUGAUGAAGAUAACUCACUGGACAGAAACUGACGCUGAAGUGCGAAAGCUAGGGGAGCAAACAGG